ACCUUAUUUAAACUCUGUGCUAAAAUCGCAGAAACUAGUACUAUGUCUUAGUAUUUUUAAUAAAGCAAGCAGAGAACCCAAGAGGACGGGAGGACAGUCCAGGUAGUUGAAAACCUGAGAUGAAUCUCUUCCAGGGUGUUUGCUUCUAAGACUCGGUACAAUCCUG
ensembl:snoRNA